UGAAGGACCAAUGAUGUGAAGGCCCGGAUCCAUCAGAGUAUCAAUGUUCUUCCUCUGUCUCCUCCCCUCUCACUGCAGACAUGAAACACUGGCUGAGAAACAUCCUCAUUCUGACUCUCUGUCUAGAGUGUAAAGGAGAAGACAGAGUGAUCCAGCCAACAGGAGAUGUCAUCGCUACUGAAGGACACACAGUUACACUUGGCUGUACAUUUGAGACCAGUGACCCAGGUCCAUAUUUGUUCUGGUACAAACAAGAAGCUAAAGAUCACCCAAAGUACAUGCUGAAGCGUUACUCAAACACAGAAGAUAAUGCUCCAGAGUUCCAGAAAGACAGAUUUGAUGCAACACUCAACAAGACAUCAGUUCCUCUGAAGAUCCAGAAGCUUCAGCUGUCUGACUCUGCUGUGUACUACUGUGCUCUGCAGCCCACAGUGACAGGAAACACCAAAACUCUGUACAAAAACAUUAUGAGCAAAGACAACACAAUACUCCACAACAUCCACUAGAGGGAGUCACACACUGUUAGACUUUAACAGGAGGUCCAAAUAAAGUCUACAGUCCUUGUAUUUACAACAAAGACAUGGAAGACAGAAGACUGAAUCUACUGUAUCAAAUAUGUGUUUGUGUCUUUUAUGUUGUUGAAGUUGUGUAUAUUAAUGAGCAAAUCACUUUGGACCAAAUUAUGAUUUAGACAAAGAUCACUGACUGAUUGACACAUAACAUGUUUCUCUGUAUGCUGACUGUGUUCCUCACUGAUUUUUCAAAUGAAU